UCCUAGAUAGCUCGCUUGGUUAGAGCGUACUGCUGAUAAUAGCAAGGUUGCAGGUUCGAUCCCUGUUAUAGGAC